ACCGCCUCACUUUUUUAUCAAAGUAGCUUCUUUCAUUUUCUGGAAAUAUUUCGAAAACACAGCUGCUCAUUUCCAGUGUUGUUCCUCUCGCCUCCAGUGGUAAAUUUUAAAUUUAUGUACAGAGAUUAUGCAAUUCUAUUCCAGCACAUCAAUGAUUUCUUCAUUGUUUUCAUAUCUGCCCAAAAACCAAAACUUUACAACAGAAUUCUGUUUUCAAAUCAAAACAUGUAUACAUCCAUUUUUCUGUAAUUUCCAUAAGGAAAUCAAAUAGAACACAGAUAUUAUUAAUUACACAGAAACGGAAAAAUAGGAGAAUAAAGUGGAGAUGGAGUUUGUGGCAUAGAACAGGGGGAAAUCGGGUGUAUGAUUGCUGGAAAACAGGAGAGGCGAAGGGGGAGCUGGCUAGUAGGCGUCGCCGGGCGCUGCCGCGCCACGGCGGCCGGCGAAGAUGGGCAGGGAGGUGGCGACGGCGGCUGGGCUGUGCUGCUGUCAACGCGGAGACGGCGAUGGUGGCAGCUGCCGUCGACCAGAAGAGGGCGAGAAGUGAGAGAUAAGGGAAGAGGGAGAGAGAGGCUGAAGGAAAGAGAGAGGAGGCAGGGCCGCCGGCUCCGGCGACGGCGCUGCCGUCCGGUGGUGGCGGUAGGAGGAGGGCCGAGGGGAGAGUAGGAGGGAGGGAGAAUGAGGAGCUGCUGCUGUGCGUAAGUUUUGUGUGUGUUGGGGUGUGAGUGAGUGAGUGAGUGUUAUAUUAAGGGUUGAUAGUAGGCCUUGGGCUUGGGCUUAGGUUAGUUUAAUUUUAAAUGGGCUCAGGUUUAUUAAAUGAUUGGGCUAUAAUUUGAUUAGCUAUUGCACUAAUUUAUUUUAUCAAAAUGCUUGCAUUUGCAUAUUAUUUUUCAAAAGAUGUCAUUAAUACAAUAUUUGGGCUAGAUUAUUAAUUUGAACUUAGUUUUACUUAAAUAUUGAGCCCAAAUCUUUUUAUAAGAAAAACUCUUAUAUAAUCUAUUAGACCAAUGUUUUCUUUAAAUGAUUUUAUGAUAAUAAAUUCUUAAGAUUUAAACUACUUAAUUAUUAUUUUUAAAGUUCAAUUAGGCCCUUAUGUAUUAUUAUUUGAAUUUAUCUGACUAGGUGCGGCGCGACUAGAACGUUACUUUUAUUUGAUUUACUCAAGUUAGCAUACAAGUUGAAGUUCAAGUUCAAGUUCAAAAUUCAGGUGUGGGAUUUAUUUCAGUACAUGCACGUGGUUAAUUCUUGUCCAUUUUAAUAUCAUGUGUUUACCAUAUGUGAGUUGCAUUAAAUUAUAUCGCUAGGGGCCCGCUCAAUGGGUCCAGGACUUCACAGUCCUUGGUAUGCCACAAUGCGAUUUCAUGUUAAAGUUAUGGUUGCAACCAGUCGCCAGGGGCCGGCUAAAUCGGUCCAGGACGGAAAGGUCCUUGGUAUGCCACCGUGCGACUUUCAGUUACGAAUGUAUUGAUCAUAUGUGAUUCUCAUUUUAUUAACGUGGACAAUGAUUGCAUGUUCCCACACUGAGUGUACCCUGUAUGCUCAUCCCAUAUUCAACAUUUUCAG
rnacentral:lncRNA from 1 species